AUGCUCACUGGCAGGGGGAUGCCGUGAUCGCGGAGGUGGUUUUCCCAGGGGGAGACUUACCCGCCACACGGAUGUGCUGACCCUGCAAUUUCCCCAAACGAGGGGAACUCGACAGUGUGGUCGUGGGGGACUGCACUCCGCCUCCCU
rnacentral:snRNA from 1 species